GGAAGGGAAUCGUGACCCGGUGGUGCGCCUGGACUUCAAAUCCAGUGGGGGGCGUUCGACGUCCCUGGUGGGUUCGACUCCCACUCUCUUCCGCCA
rnacentral:tRNA from 1 species